GCAAGGCUGAAUACUGUGUUCUUUUUUUUUUAGUAGUUUACACAGCCAGACACCAUGCAAAGGUAAAGUCUUCUCUUUAAAAUGCCUACAACGGAUGGUAUGUAAGUUUGUUCAUAGCACAUCAUUCAUUAAAAAUAAGAAAGAAA
rnacentral:snoRNA from 1 species